AUGUUUCAUUUUGCAUGAGAACGACAUGUACCCAGAUAAUAUUUAGUGAGCUCUCCUUUUCCUCUCACACCACUGAUAACAUUCUUUAGAAAACCUUGUACCAGGCUGUGCAGGGUUUGAAGACAGUG